CGAGGUAGAUAGGCUGGGGGUGGAAGUGCAGCAAUGCAUGGAGCUGACCAGUACUAAUCGGUCGAGGGCUUAUCCUA
rnacentral:rRNA from 1 species